UUGGGACAUCGCAUUAAGUGUUUUUCCGCGUUUGACAUCAUUAUAAGAAUGGUCUAUUGUACGUGAUAAUUAAACGAUAAAACGACUUAGGAAUUAGUAACGUCAGGUCAUUAAAAAAUGGUUCAACUCACAACUCUCAUGUACGUUGGACGAAACCAAAUUAAAGUUUCUACUUAACAGUUUAUUCAUUCAUAAAAUUCGAUUCAAUUGUGUUCAUGCUGUCAUGGGUUCAGCAUAGUACUCAGACAUUCAAAUUAUAACAACGAAGUGAAUUUCUCAAAGGUUCUUUUCUUUGAGACACCCUGUAGUACUAAACAUUGGCCGUUCUCCUGUCUUGUCCAGUUUCUGUUUUGAUCUGAACGAGAACUAGUUUUAUAAUACACGUUUCCCGCAAAAUAAAUGGUUAACACUGCACACAUAAACUAAGAGUGUAUUCUUAAAUUACAUAUUCUACAGGCAAUACAAUACAUGAUUCUCUACCAUUCCAAGAAGUAUAUAACUCUAGUGUAUUGGAAACAUGUACUAAUUAAAUUUUAUACUGACUGGUG